UAGUAUUAUAGAAGAGCUAGAUUUGGACAUGUCUGCUUGCAAGUCAAUAGAUUUAAAACUGAGGGCAUAUUGGCCUUUUCUACUUAUACGUGUCUUCCUCCUCCGACUGAACAGCCACGUAGCAUAUCAACAGCUUUUUCGGUUCCAUAGCUUCUUCUUUUUCAACGUCUGUUCCAUAGCCUUUAGGCUUCUACCGUGUUCUUCUUCCUCAGUUCAAUCUAAUCGAUCCGCUUAACUGCAAUUUUUGUAAAUCCUCAGUCCUCCUUUGUGCACUGACCAGAAGUACUGUGUCCAAUCCCUAACAAAAGCUACGAUUUCACUUGAGAGCAGAGAACUCAAAUAAGAGCAAUACAACAACAAUCUACUGUAACCCACAUAAUCAAACCGUAGCACCGAGAAAGCAAAUAGAAACCAGGAUUGUUGGUUUUAAUAAAUGGAGAAAUCAAGGACAUGACAGAGAUGGGGAAACCACCCGGCGACAUCAAAUCUUUGAACAAAACCUUGUAGCCUUCAAAAUCUUUUGUUGCAAUAGGAACAAUUUUUUGGGUGUGGGCUUGCUAAUCCUGUACGCUACCCGACAUUCUCGCCGGAAUACUUGGUACCGCAAACUACGACCCAUUUGGACUCCUAACUUUCUGAAGGUGUUUUGGAUGGGUCUUAAAAACGAGAAACAAAAAUAAAAGACUAAUGGUGGUAGCCGAAUUUAAAGGUGGAGAUGUGGUGGUAUGCUCAGAUUUAAGGAGACGAUAGUAAUGGCGUGAAAGAUCUAAAAAUUUAAAAGAAAUAUUCACCGGAAAGUUUUGUGGCAAAAGCUAUUAUUUUCCGGCAAGAAGUAUGAAAGGUUUGUCUUUCGGACCAUUUUUACGGGCUUGGAAAAUGUGAGAAACACUCACCUUGCCAUGUCAGCAUUAAUCUGGUUAAAGUGUUCAAAUGGAAUAGACUUAAGAUGGAGUGUCUAAGUGAAAAGUAUGGACAACUUUAAGGGGCCGACGAUGUAUUUUGCCUUUAUGUUAUUUUGGGCCUUUCUCCCAACUUUUUUUAUUACUUAUGUUGUAGUUAAUUUAUUUUUAUUUUAUCUUCUUUGUUUCAGUUUUUACUCUGGGUUGUGGUAGCCGUCUCCUCUGCAUCAUCUUGUAAGCACUGCACUUCUAUUGGUUUUUUUUUGUUUUUUUUUCCUUAACUUCUUAGUAGAUUGUUUAAGUAUAAGUACUAUCUGUUUAUUAGAGUUAUUUUUUGUUUGUAAUAUAUGUCAAUAAGACACAACUUAUAUUACUAUAUAGUCAGAUUAAAUAAUGUUAAACGCAUCCUUGAAUUGUGAUUCAA